rnacentral:rRNA from 1 species
GUCGGCUGCGUGCAAGACAAACGCCUGAUCUCGUCUGAUCUCGGAAGUCAAGCAGGGUCAGGCCUGGUUAGUACUAAGAAGAACAACUGGAAAAAAAGAACAGGGCCACUGACU